UACGUAGGGUGCGAGCGUUGUCCGGAAUUACUGGGCGUAAAGAGCUCGUAGGUGGUUUGUCGCGUUGUUCGUGAAAACUCACGGCUUAACUGUGAGCGUGCGGGCGAUACGGGCAGACUGGAGUACUGCAGGGGAGACUGGAAUUCCUGGUGUAGCGGUGGAAUGCGCAGAUAUCAGGAGGAACACCGGUGGCGAAGGCGGGUCUCUGGGCAGUAACUGACGCUGAGGAACGAAAGCGUGGGGAGCGAACAGG
rnacentral:rRNA from 1 species